AGAGGAAGCAGUGAUUAAUACAUCAUCAUAUUAACACCAAGGAACAGAACAAGGUUUGAUUUCUGAUUCCUCUGUUGCCUCACGCUCUACUUCUACUUCACACUUUUCAAAGGGUGAAAUGAGGCUAUCAUCCCCAAACAGGACACAUAGUUUACAGUGCUUUCCAAAGCUGAGAUCAACUAUGCAGUAGAAGUACACUGUAAGUACCAUGUAUUCUCAACUUGUGCAUGAUCUGGUAAGCAAGGAAAGCCUGUAUCACAUUGAAGAAGUAUUCUAUCCCGAUCUUUUCACCAGCAAAGAACUCUUAAUAUUUUCCAGAUAUCCCCAAAAUAUCUUUACCAUCCUCCAGAAGCAAGAGUCUUUAAAAAGUGAUAGAAAAAAAUUCUUCCAAGUUUUUCAAGUCAUACUUAAGGGAAAGUCGAAGACAUCGAAGGAUGUCCUCGAAAAUCUGGACAGUAGGACAUGUUUUUUUUUUAAGUUUUGAAUAUUGCCAGGCCUACAGUUCCAGCUGACAUGUAUUUCUGUUAAAAAAAAACUAAAGAAGCUUGCAACUUAAGGAUGUCUUCAGCCUUGCUAGUACUGGAGCAUUUGGUACUCUCCUGCAAGUAAGAAGGUAUUGAAUUUCACUGAAAUGUCAACCAGCAUGUAGUAUGAAGAACAAUGCAAAGUCUUCUGGCUCAGUCAUAUAUUUAGAAAGUAUUUGUGCACGUGUAUGUUUGAGUAGCAGAAGCUUCUAAACAAAUCCACACAAUUAGUCCUUGCAAAACGUUCCCCGUUUUAUAUUUUUACAGCCACUCAUGGGACAACGUAUUUCUUCCACACACUGAAGUACCAGAAAGAUAAUAUUAGGAAAGUAAUAGAAGAUUUAACAGCAGCAAGAAUAAUCAGAAAUCUUUUGUAAAAAUAUGAAGGGAGCUUUAUAUGUAUAGUCUGAGUAGUUACGCAUUAACUAUAUCAUCUAUACAUACACACUUCUACAAAGGUUAUUGGAACACAGCAAAGAAAGAAACAAACGUAGUGUACGAAAUAUACUCAGAAGCAGUAGAUUAACUAUACAGGAAAUGGAGAAUGAAAAUUAAUACAAAUGAUACAAUGAGGUCCACUAGACAAGGGAAGAAUCUCAGCAAAGGAAAUGGCAAAAUAUCUCUUUCCUGAACUUCUCUGGACUGGUCAAAAUAUGCUGUAAAAAUGACCCCACAUCAUUAAGUAGCUAGAUUGGGAGCAUACCUAAUAAAAACUGAACUUUGGGAAUGUUUGAUGGUUUCACAGCUACUAAAAUGGAGAUUCACAAGAACAGUGAAAAGGAAAAAAACACCAAAAAAGUGCUCCAUGUAAAAAAAAAAAAAAAAAUCAGGUCUUACAAAUCAAGAGAGAAGAGAGGAUAAGUUUUCAGUACAUAUCUGAUAGCAAGCUAACAAGCUUAGCAACAAAUUUCGCUUGGUAUUGUCAAUAGUGAAACUAAAGUUCAAACGACAGGUACCACAUGAGCUGCUUACCCAGUUCUAUCUCCCACUGGGAUUUUUAUUUUUAAGUGCUUUCUUUCUGAGCAAGUAUGCAAUUUGCUUUUGCAAAAGCAGCAAAGUAAGUAUUCCCUUAAUCGAAAAAGGCAUUUAAAAUCCAAGGCUAUCAAUAUUGCUCUCCAAUACACAAAUACUCAUCUUCUGAUGUUAAAUCCUAGAGUACGUAUACGUACAAGAGUAAUUAAGAGCUGCUUUGAUCUUAUAAUUCACUAAUAUCACUAUGCAUAUUUGUAAGUAAAGUAGGGUAUUUUAUGCCAUAUUCAGUACAAUCUGUUUGCAUAAGAACUCGUCCUCACUUCAAGAGAUGCACAUUCUAUCGUAAGGAAUCAAGAGCACGAGGAUUCGCCGAUCUAGGGAUGAACAAAGCAUAUCCUGACUGCACUCUCUAAUUCUCUGUAUUAGCAUCUAACACCUCGCUUACUAAACAAGUGACAAGCUUGACACAAAUAAGAUAAUAAUUUAUUCUUCUUCAGCACAUAAACCUUGAGCUAGGCUCCGGUAUUGAUUUCUCCCCAGGAGUACAAGCAGGGCAGGGCUCUAGCAGCCAGCACGCUGCCAACUGUUGCCUAGCAAUACGACGUCGUUGUGCCGACUCCAGAUUGCGAGCACAGGUUGCAUGGCUCCAGCUCCGCUCCGUUCCUACAGCAGUGUGGCAUUUCAGAAAACUGCAACCAGGCAGCCAUGGCAGUGCCAGACCCUUCACUCCUCAUUGUGAACGUAUCACGUAUACAAAUCACACUGGAAAUGCUGAGCUGCAGUUAUAACGCAUCUCUACAUACUGGUUUCUGCAUCUAGCUGCUGCGUGAUGGCACAUGCAUUCACUAAAAUACGCAGUCCCAUCCUAGUCCUACCAGAAAAUAUACCAGACUGAAACACAAUAUAAGAAAUAUUUUCAUAAAUAUAGAUCAAAUCAAUCAACUCAGAAUUAAUAAGCCAAUAGAAGCACGCUUAAUUUUAUUUUAUUUUUACAGAAGAGUAUAUAUGAAUUCAACUGUAUCUUUAUAACUUAUCUUCAAUUUCACAAAAAAAUGUGAAUCACAAAUCACAAAUAUCUCCCCCCUGGGAAAGAAGCACCCAGCAGCCACCGCCAAGAGAAGCAGCUGAGGAAAGGGAAAGCACCUCCUGACACUGCCGCAGGAGCAUGGACUGAUUCAGCAGCACGUGGCUCAAUGACUGCCUGCACUUAGCAGCGACUGAUACAGUUUUCUUCUGCAAAAUUGUCAAGCUGUCCUUUGAGCUUUGGCAUCCACCCCAAGCUGUGCAAACACUGACGCCCGGGCGUUACCUGCGCGCCGCAUUAAGGGCAGCCUGCUCUUAAUGCCCAAACAAUGACUUUUGGAGGCUGCCAACUCCCGGCCCUGCUCCGUACCCUCCGGUUCUGCCAUUAGAGGAUGCGAUGAGCUGUCACCUACCACCUCGGUGCCACCCAGGAUUUUCUGGGCAGUUUCACUGCUUUCUAUUGACUAAAUCUAGAAGUGAAGCUAACAAGAACCAGAAACUCCAUUCCCUUUGUGAGAAUGCCAUGAAAUCCAGAAAAGACCUAUAAUAACCCAAAAGCUAGAAUAAGAGUGGGAGCCAUUGCUUUCAAGGUGGUAGAGAAGGGACAAAAAGGUUACUGUGAUUGACAAACAGUAACAGAAUCCAAUUAAAAAUGCCUCAUUAACAGCACAGCCCGAGAAGAGUGAAAUCUGACCAGAUCUCUCAUUCUGAGACUGGAAACGGGCUUGAUCCUGCAGAGCACCAAAUGCUCAGAGCCCGCCUGACCAAAGCACCAGGUCAACACGCUUAAAUUUUAAGAACACAAACAUUGCCAUCAAAGCUGGAGUCUAUCCACGGCUCCAUCAGGUUUUCAUUAAGACCAGCACAUUUGUUAGAAGCUUCAGAGCAAGACUCCUCCAGCUUUCGCUAAGCCUGCUAUACUUAAAAACCCAUUUAGAAGUAGUUCCACUUUCUACAGAAAAAUCUUUACGAGGACUUGUGGGAACUUUAAGCUCUCAGCAACAAUUUGUAUGAUCUAAGCUGUGCGAGUUGUCGACGUCCAGCUCUGUUCACAACCGUUCCCAUUUUAUCAAGUGGACGGCACAGAAGUGCAGCAGUGCUCUGAAAGGUAAACCGAAGCUAGAACAGCCAGCAGCAGAGUUUGUGGUGCAAUGCCGACCAACGCAAAUGGCAAAUCUUCCCCGGAGAACAUUUGCUUUCAUGCGAGUUGUGAUUUCAGUUUCUGAGCUCUUCAGUCGAAGUGAAGGGCAUGAAUUGUAGGCUCUGAAUGUGCCUCUCAUUUUCCAAACCAUCUUUUAGGAACGGUGCCAUGUCAGACACUGGAAAGCGUGUCCAGUGACAGAAUUUUUUGUGCUUUUAAAGCAUCAUUUUGGAACAUUUACAACAGACUAUUCUUUUUCUUAUUAAAACGUCUGUUGCCUUAAAUGUCUAUGAAUAUGCCACAUUUGACUAUAAUCAAGCUGCAGACGUAAACACGCAGAAGUGGAAAAUUACAAAAUAGUUGAAGAAUCUGAUUUUUUAAAAGUCAUAGUUCUGUUUUUGUUGAACUUCCCUCUCGAACAAGCGCUGCUGAGCUUUUAAAUAAGAAAUUGCUAACACAUUUAUAAAGAGUGCUCAAAUAAAGUUUUCAAAGAGAGAGAGCACUCAACGUGGAAUUCGCAGCACAAUAUUUUCUAAGCUAGCUUGUAAUCCAAUGAGCAGCUAGCAGAAACACUUUACUCCACCCUAAAUUUCCUCUCUUUCAGAAGUCCAAUUACUAACUUUAAUAAUUUAUCUCCUUUUAUAUAUCUUUUGGAUAUUUCCUCUCAUUAGUGUGCCAGGUAAGCAUACUGAGAUAAGAUAUCGAAAAUAAUAGCAUAUCAUAAUUCACACACAUGCAGCAAUCUGCACGACACCACUGAGAAGCUCAGAUCCCACUAUGAUUUUGAUUCUAGACUUGAGACUCUUGGAAUGUACUAAGCUGUUCCACAAAGCUCAUUUUUCUUACAGGAAGUGACCUAAUAUACAAAGUACUUCACGGUUUUCAAUCAACAGAAAUACAGAUAUGAAUGUAUUAAGCCAAUAUCUAUAAAGCAAGACGUGAGGUCACUUCCUGACAACUAAUAUCUAAAAUUGACAUUUGUUACUGCAAGAAGGCAUGCUUAUAAAGUAUUAGAUCAAACAAGAACUUUGUAUUUUUACAGAAUGGAUAUGUUGGCUGUGCUACCUCUGUAAUCAUUACUGAUGCAUAAUCCCUUCCCUGCCACUCCCCUGCAUGUCACCCUCCAACGUCCCUGCCUUCCAACGCCGCUUCGUUCCAGUACGGAACUGGGAAUUAGAAAACAAGCUUUAAAAAAAAAAAUA